rnacentral:rRNA from 1 species
AAUAGAUACCCCGGUAGUCCAUGCCGUAAACGUUGGGAACUAGAUGUAGGGCCUGUUCCACGGGUUCUGUGUCGUAGCUAACGCAUUAAGUUCCCCGCCUGGGGAGUACGGCCGCAAGGCUAAAACUCAAAGGAAUUGACGGGGGCCCGCACAAGCGGCGGAGCAUGCGGAUUAAUUCGAUGCAACGCGAAGAACCUUACCAAGGCUUGACAUAUAGAAGAACACUGCAGAGAUGCAGGACUCUUUGGACACUUCUAUACAGGUGGUGCAUGGUUGUCGUCAGCUCGUGUCGUGAGAUGUUCGGUUAAGUCCGGCAACGAGCGCAACCCUCGUCCUAUGUUGCCAGCACGUGAUGGUGGGAACUCAUGGGAUACUGCCGUGGUCAACACGGAGGAAGGGUAGGGGAUGACGUCAAAUCAUCAUGCCCCUUAUGUCUUGGGCUUCACGCAUGCUACAAUAGCCGGUACAAAGGGCUGCGAUACCGUAAGGUGGAGCGAAUCCCAAAAAGCCGGUCUCAGUUCGGU